GACGAACGCUGGCGGCGUGCCUAAUACAUGCAAGUAGAACGCUGAAGGAGGAGCUUGCUUCUCUGGAUGAGUUGCGAACGGGUGAGUAACGCGUAGGUAACCUGCCUGGUAGCGGGGGAUAACUAUUGGAAACGAUAGCUAAUACCGCAUAAUAGUAGAUGUCGCAUGACAUUUGCUUAAAAGGUGCACUUGCAUCACUACCAGAUGGACCUGCGUUGUAUUAGCUAGUUGGUGAGGUAACGGCUCACCAAGGCAACGAUACAUAGCCGACCUGAGAGGGUGAUCGGCCACACUGGGACUGAGACACGGCCCAGACUCCUACGGGAGGCAGCAGUAGGGAAUCUUCGGCAAUGGACGGAAGUCUGACCGAGCAACGCCGCGUGAGUGAAGAAGGUUUUCGGAUCGUAAAGCUCUGUUGUAAGAGAAGAACGAGUGUGAGAGUGGAAAGUUCACACUGUGACGGUAUCUUACCAGAAAGGGACGGCUAACUACGUG
rnacentral:rRNA from 1 species